rnacentral:rRNA from 1 species
GAGAGAUAUGGUCAAUGGCCUAACGGCUGAACCAGCAAUUUGGGGGAAUGUAAGUAUAUAUAAUAGCAUUAUAUGCAAAUCGGCUAUGCCGAAUAAAGUUCUAAAUAGAUAAUUGAUUAUGACAAACUUCUAUUUAUAUGUCUCGACCAAUUCUUGUGCCAGCAGUCGCGGCAACACAAGUGAGACUAGUGUUAUUCAUCUUUAUUAGGUUUAAAGGGUACCUAGACAGUAUUUCCAGCCCCUAAAGGGUACAGAUUUACUAGAGUUUUAUACGGGAGGUAAAUAUUAGGACCAUUGGUGUAGAGAUGAAAUUCUUUGAUACUAAUGGGAUGUGUAACGGCGAAGGCAACCCUCUAUGUAAAAACUGACGUUAAGGGACGAAGGCUUGGGGAGCGAAUAGGAUUAGAUACCCUAGUAGUCCAGGCAGAAAAUUAUGAGUGUUAUAGACUAAAUUAAAAUUGGUGUAUAAAUGAAAGUGUAAGCAUUCCACCUCAAGAGUAAUGUGGCAACACAGGAACUGAAAUCAUUAGACCGUUUCUGAAACCAGUAGUGAAGUAUGUUAUUUAAUUCGAUGACCCUCGAAAAACCUUACCACAAUUUGAAUGUUUUCUAAAACAGAAUAUACAUAUAUAUUGGACCCAUUUUUUUUUAGAAAUGUAUCAUUAAACACAAGCGUUGCACGGCUGUCUUCAGUUAAUGUCGUGAGAUUUUGGUUAGAUCCAUUAAAUUAACGUAAACCCUUACUUUUUUUAUAUCUUUUUCUUUUCUUUUAUUUUUUAUUUAAGAAGAGAAAAAUAAUUAAUGAAGUAGUUCGCCGCUAGAUUGGCUUAUGAUAACAGGGACCAAGACAAGUCAUCAUGACCUUAAUAUUGUGGGCUAUA